AGAACGAACGCUGGCGGCAUGCCUAACACAUGCAAGUCGAACGAGCUCUUCGGAGCGAGUGGCGCACGGGUGCGUAACGCGUGGGAACCUGCCCUUAGGUUCGGAAUAACUCCCCGAAAGGGGUGCUAAUACCGGAUAAUGUCUUCGGACCAAAGAUUUAUCGCCUUUGGAUGGGCCCGCGUUGGAUUAGCUAGUUGGUGGGGUAAUGGCCCACCAAGGCGACGAUCCAUAGCUGGUCUUAGAGGAUGAUCAGCCACACUGGGACUGAGACACGGCCCAGACUCCUACGGGAGGCAGCAGUGGGGAAUAUUGGACAAUGGGCGAAAGCCUGAUCCAGCAAUGCCGCGUGAGUGAUGAAGGCCUUAGGGUUGUAAAGCUCUUUUACCCGGGAUGAUAAUGACAGUACCGGGAGAAGUAACGCCCCGGCUAACUCCGUGCCAGCAGCCGC
rnacentral:rRNA from 1 species